rnacentral:lncRNA from 1 species
GCAGCACAGCGCAGCGCUCCUGGAGAGGCUGUGGGUUCGUGGCAUCCGCGCCGCGGCCGCAAGUAUAGCAGGUUUCGUACCUGGUGUUCAUCGCCGUUAAGUCAUCGCUGCUGCCACCCAGGCACGGCUCUCUAUGCCGCCGCUCCCUCCACCCUCUAGGCACUGCCUGCCGUAAGAAUUUUAACUGCGACACUCGCUUCAGCAGGAGGAGUGCUGGGAGCCCAACUCAAGACUGAUGUGUGCUUGGCAGGCAGUCUACCCCCGAUCUCAGUCCUCCAGCCUUUCGGCCUUUUUUCCUUUUUGGAGACAGAAUUGCAUCAUAUGGCAUCCUACACAGUCCUGCCUCAGUCUCUGCAGUGCUGGGAUUGUAGGCCUAUGCCACCUAGCCUUUCUACAAUACAAACAAAUAUGAAAAGAAGAGGGACUUCUUUGGAAAGGAGUACAGGGACUAUGGAAGAGAUGAAAAG